CGAUCUUUGAUCAUGGUCUCGCGAAAACUUGUAUUUAAAACCCCACUCUUAUAAAUUGAAUCAUUUUAUAUUAUGUAUGUAAUAAAUAAAGAUCACUUUCAACAACGGAUCUCUUGGCUCUCGCAUCGAUGAAGAACGUAGCGAAGUGCGAUAAGUAA
rnacentral:rRNA from 1 species